UACGAAGGGGGCUAGCGUUGCUCGGAAUCACUGGGCGUAAAGGGUGCGUAGGCGGGUCUUUAAGUCAGGGGUGAAAUCCUGGAGCUCAACUCCAGAACUGCCUUUGAUACUGAAGAUCUUGAGUUCGGGAGAGGUGAGUGGAACUGCGAGUGUAGAGGUGAAAUUCGUAGAUAUUCGCAAGAACACCAGCGGCGAAGGCGGCGCUCUGGGCCGGAACUGACGCUGAGGAGCGAAAGCGUGGGUAGCAAACAGG
rnacentral:rRNA from 1 species